rnacentral:rRNA from 1 species
AACCAGCACCUCAAGUUGUCAGGAGGAUUAUUGGGCCUAAAGCAUCCGUAGCCGGCUCUGUUAGUUUUCGGUUAAAUCCAUAUGCUCAACAUAUGGGCUGUCGGAAAUACUGCAGAGCUAGGGAAUGGGAGAGGUAGACGGUACUCGGUAGGAAGGGGUAAAAUCCUUUGAUCUAUCGAUGACCACCUGUGGCGAAGGCGGUCUACCAGAACAUGUUCGACGGUGAGGGAUGAAAGCUGGGGAGCAAACCGG